rnacentral:rRNA from 1 species
GACGAACCGUGCGAACGUUAUUCGGAAUCACUGGGCUUAAAGCGCGUGUAGGCGGGCCGCCGCGUCGGCUGCUGAAAUCCCCCGGCUCAACCGGGGAACGGGCACCGAUACGGGCAGCCUCGAGGGGGGUAGGGGGGCCUGGAACUUCCGGUGGAGCGGUGAAAUGCGUUGAGAUCGGAAGGAACGCCCGUGGCGAAAGCGAGGCCCUGGACCCUUACUGACGCUGAGACGCGAAAGCCAGGGGAGCGAACGGG